rnacentral:rRNA from 1 species
GACGAACGCUGGCGGCGUGCCUAACACAUGCAAAUCGAGCGAAGGACUUCGGUUCUUAGCGGCGGACGGGUGAGUAACACGUGGGUAACCUGCCUCAAAGAGGGGGAUAGCCUCCCGAAAGGGAGAUUAAUACCGCAUAAUAUUAGAUCUUCACAUGGAGAUUUAAUUAAAGGAGUAAUCCGCUUUGAGAUGGGCCCGCGGCGCAUUAGCUAGUUGGUGAGGUAACGGCUCACCAAGGCGACGAUGCGUAGCCGACCUGAGAGGGUGAUCGGCCACAUUGGAACUGGGACACGGUCCAGACUCCUACGGGAGGCAGCAGUGGGGAAUAUUGCACAAUGGGCGAAAGCCUGAUGCAGCAACGCCGCGUGAGUGAUGAAGGCCUUCGGGUUGUAAAACUCUGUCUUUGGGGACGAUAAUGACGGUACCCAAGGAGGAAGCCACGGCUAACUACGUGCCAGCAGCCGCCGUAA